rnacentral:tRNA from 1 species
GUCCCCGUAGCUCAGAUGGAUAGAGCAACAGUUUCCUAAACUGUAGGCCGCGCGUUCGAAUCGCGCCGGGGGCACCA